ACGCUGUUUGUUCUUCUAGUUCAGUACAUACAAUGGUGUGUCUUUCGAUUGGAUGGUGCAAGAGUGAGUCGCUUUGAUGAUGAUGGAUGCAUUACAUGCAAUACCCCCCCUUAAAGAAGAAAGCAUUGAUGGAUUAAGAAAUUGGAUAGUCGCUGUUGGUCGAUGCUUCAAUCCCCCAUACUCUCGUGAUUGUUUGACGUGUUUUGUAACACCGAACCUAUUUCUAGCCGGGUGAGAGGUUUCUUAUUCAAAUCAUGGCAAUUUUAGCUUUCGGCGAAAGAAGGAAGGGUUUACUAAUUGGAAUAGAAAGAGAAUCGUUUCGUCUCCCUUCCCCUGUCAUUAUAUACGCCCCUCGAAUUUACGUAGGAAACAAAUGAAUGUCGCUAGAUAUCAUGGAUCAGUCGUAACGUCGAACGCCGUCAAGUGUGGUUCUAUAAUUGCCAACGUUGGGCUUUUUUUUUGUUGCUGAGGUGGAUUCUAUUUUUUUACCUGUCAAGCGAGAUUGCGACGAGGGAAUCGAUUGAAGCCACAACUGAAACUCCUUGCACGUAAGCCACCUAAAAGACAAGUCACUCGUUAACUACUUGCAUGUAUUUUGUAUAUUUACAAGCACGGCCUCCCUAUGAUCGGGAGGCCGUGCUUUUUUCCCCGUCGUUAUUCAUUGUUUCUUUUUGUAUUUUGUUACAAAUUUCAUUUAAUCGCAUCCAUUCUCAGAACUUUUUUACAACUAAUGGUGAAAUAUCUUACCAACUUGCACAUGGUCUCUCCCAGGAUCCAAGCUGUGACAUGGUAAGGAAAGAAAAGUUAAGGAUUUAUUUAGUUCUGCUUUUUUUUCUCUAAAAGUAACAGAACUUUGUGUUUGCAGUACUUGUAGACACUACUCAACAUAGAGAAAAUUCGCGAAAAGAAGAGUUGACUAUGAUGGAUGGUAGACGGACAGGGACUCGUUUAUUUUAAAUCCGUCGUCUGCUGUCUGUGUUUUGUUUAACAGCUGAGCUGAUUCAUUUGCAAUGUUUGACAGGGAUAAACAUCGAUGACUAAAUCUGUCGGUGCCCAAUCAGAAGAGGGAAAAGUAGCAAAGAAAGUCUGGGGAAAGUUGUUGAUAGUGGAGUGGCGUGACGAUGUUUUAGCACAAAGGAUUGCGUAGCUGCUUCACCAAGAAACAUUAUCCCUGCAUCGCGGUAUACAACUAACUAGCCCGGCGGGUAAUAAAGCUUCUCGAUUGACGUCAACAUCCAGCAUCGAAUCCAGCUAAAUCUCAGCUAUUGUGUUUAACAAAGUUUCGCUAUCCAACUAACCUGACAAGUUACCAUUAUCCUACAUCCAUUUCCUUGUUUAUUUUUUUUUUUACAUUGUAAAGUCCACACCGUAACAGCCCUCGAGAAGUCUAAAUUGCCAUACGCUCAAUAUAACAAGGGCCACUGGAGAUCGUCGUCAUGGUAGUGUAUUAAAUUGGAUUCCACGAAGAUCUGAUGGCUACGCAGGGUCUGCAUUUCUUCUUUAACGGGAGGUUAGGAAACGAUUUUUCCCGAGUAACAAGAUUGGAUGGAAGGAAAUGUCUUAUAAACUGACAGGAGGGGAGAAUUCUUUGAAAAGGGGAAGCGGACGAGUACUGUGCAUCCAAUGGAUGUAUUAUGUUCGAGGAGAAAGAAGUCGUACAUGUUAUUCAAUAAGGGAAUGAAAAAGACGGGAAGUACUGCAUAUUUUUAUUUUAUCUCCUUUCCCGUUUUCAUUUCCGCUGUCUUGCAUUCUUACCCCACCAUCACUGUUGUCGUAAUGCUUGGUAAAUGUAUUGCAAAGUCUCUUUCCAGGCCUGUUUUUAGAUGCUCACAUUCCCCGGCUUAGAUGUUUGUGUAAUUUAUAUCCGAUAGUCAGACGUGUCAAAUUUAUCCGGCAGCAUUUUACCCUACAUUACUAGAUAUCCCGACAGGCUGAACGUGAAAAGAAACUGCCAUUUGUAGUAAAGAUAUUUUUGGAUUUGUGCAAUUCGGCAGGUUUGAAGUGAUGCAUUCAGUGAAGUAAGGUAAUCCUUUCUAACGGAUUUUUUUCGCUGAUGUAGAUGUCUUUAAUUCGUCCUGCGUUAUGCAAGAAAAACUUGAAAUAUUUACUUUGUUUCUUUUAUUUAAUAUCGUUGUCGCUGCUUUGAUCUAUUUGAAAAUUCCAGCCAAAGGUUUUAAUCUCGUGUUUAAAAAUAGUAAAAUUGUGAAGCAA
rnacentral:lncRNA from 1 species